GCUAAGCCCUGCUGGUGCCAGUGGACCCCCUGGUUCCCCCGACAGACCCUGAGACAGUGCUGACAUCAGACCCGGGUCAAACACGGUCUCAGAGAGACAGACUCUGUUUGCAGGGAGCAACACAAGAGGAAAUGGCAUCAGUUGUUUCUGCAGCUACUUCCUACAUUUCCCAGGACGACUUUUGAUCUUUCCAGUCCACAAAGCAGCUUGUGAGAAAACUGACAAAUAUCAGGUCCUGUGAGAGGAAUGAUAAGCACCGACCGCCUCAUGUGGCGACCACUUGAGCGCUGGGAGAGAUCUGAGAGUUCACACUCGUCUCAGGGGAUUUUGAAACAAACCUGUUGCAGCAGCGGCGUCGACCGGAUCCCGGCCGAUCAGAGCAGAACUCGGCCCGGCAGAGCUGAGUCCGGUAAAACCUGAGUGCAGGGUUUGGGAGCUGAGGCGCGAUCCCAACGCUCCCUGCGCCAUUUUCCCAUUUCCCGGCUUUUCCAUGUCGACUUCGCUCUGCAGCCAACGCUCCUGAGGAAAAACAGACGCCUCCUCUGCUGCC